GACGAACGCUGGCGGCGUGCUUAACACAUGCAAGUCGAACGGAAAGGCCCUGCUUUUGUGGGGUGCUCGAGUGGCGAACGGGUGAGUAACACGUGAGUAACCUGCCCUUGACUUUGGGAUAACUUCAGGAAACUGGGGCUAAUACCGGAUAGGAGCUCCUGCUGCAUGGUGGUGGUUGGAAAGUUUCGGCGGUUGGGGAUGGACUCGCGGCUUAUCAGCUUGUUGGUGGGGUAGUGGCUUACCAAGGCUUUGACGGGUAGCCGGCCUGAGAGGGUGACCGGCCACAUUGGGACUGAGAUACGGACCAGACUCCUACGGGAGGCAGCAGUGGGGAAUAUUGCACAAUGGGCGGGAGCCUGAUGCAGCAACGCCGCGUGCGGGAUGACGGCCUUCGGGUUGUAAACCGCUUUCGCAUGUGCCGAAGCGUGAGUGACGGUAAUGGGUAAAGAAGCACCGGCUAACUACGUG
rnacentral:rRNA from 1 species